CUUGUACUCCCUCCAUCCCAAAAUUCUUGUCUUAGAUUUGUCUAAAUACGGAUGUAUCUAGUUACGUUUUAGUGUUAGAUACAUCCGUAUCUAGACAAAUGUAAGACAACAAUUUUGGGACGGAGGGAGUAUCUU
rnacentral:pre_miRNA from 1 species